UACGGGGGGGGUAAGCGUUGUUCGGAAUUACUGGGCGUAAAGGGCUCGUAGGCGGCCAACUAAGUCGGACGUGAAAUCCCUCAGCUUAACUGGGGAACUGCGUCCGAUACUGGAUGGCUUGGAUUUGGGAGAGGGAUGCGGAAUUCCAGGUGUAGCGGUGAAAUGCGUAGAUAUCUGGAGGAACACCGGUGGCGAAGGCGGCAUCCUGGACCAAUAUUGACGCUGAGGAGGCGAAAGCUAGGGGAGCAAACGGGG
rnacentral:rRNA from 1 species